GUACACAAAAAUGCACAUGCUGUGAGCUCGAUGAGUAGGGCGGGACACGUGGUAUCCUGUCUGAAUAUGGGGGGACCAUCCUCCAAGGCUAAAUACUCCUGACUGACCGAUAGUGAACCAGUACCGUGAGGGAAAGGCGAAAAGAACCCCGGCGAGGGGAGUGAAAAAGAACCUGAAACCGUGUACGUACAAGCAGUGGGAGCACGCUUAGGCGUGUGACUGCGUACCUUUUGUAUAAUGGGUCAGCGACUUAUAUUCUGUAGCAAGGUUAACCGAAUAGGGGAGCCGAAGGGAAACCGAGUCUUAACUGGGCGUUAAGUUGCAGGGUAUAGACCCGAAACCCGGUGAUCUAGCCAUGGGCAGGUUGAAGGUUGGGUAACACUAACUGGAGGACCGAACCGACUAAUGUUGAAAAAUUAGCGGAUGACUUGUGGCUGGGGGUGAAAGGCCAAUCAAACCGGGAGAUAGCUGGUUCUCCCCGAAAGCUAUUUAGGUAGCGCCUCGUGAAUUCAUCUCCGGGGGUAGAGCACUGUUUCGGCAAGGGGGUCAUCCCGACUUACCAACCCGAUGCAAACUGCGAAUACCGGAGAAUGUUAUCACGGGAGACACACGGCGGGUGCUAACGUCCGUCGUGAAGAGGGAAACAACCCAGACCGCCAGCUAAGGUCCCAAAGUCAUGGUUAAGUGGGAAACGAUGUGGGAAGGCCCAGACAGCCAGGAUGUUGGCUUAGAAGCAGCCAUCAUUUAAAGAAAGCGUAAUAGCUCACUGGUCGAGUCGGCCUGCGCGGAAGAUGUAACGGGGCUAAACCAUGCACCGAAGCUGCGGCAGCGACGCUUAUGCGUUGUUGGGUAGGGGAGCGUUCUGUAAGCCUGCGAAGGUGUGCUGUGAGGCAUGCUGGAGGUAUCAGAAGUGCGAAUGCUGACAUAAGUAACGAUAAAGCGGGUGAAAAGCCCGCUCGCCGGAAGACCAAGGGUUCCUGUCCAACGUUAAUCGGGGCAGGGUGAGUCGACCCCUAAGGCGAGGCCGAAAGGCGUAGUCGAUGGGAAACAGGUUAAUAUUCCUGUACUUGGUGUUACUGCGAAGGGGGGACGGAGAAGGCUAUGUUGGCCGGGCGACGGUUGUCCCGGUUUAAGCGUGUAGGCUGGUUUUCCAGGCAAAUCCGGAAAAUCAAGGCUGAGGCGUGAUGACGAGGCACUACGGUGCUGAAGCAACAAAUGCCCUGCUUCCAGGAAAAGCCUCUAAGCAUCAGGUAACAUCAAAUCGUACCCCAAACCGACACAGGUGGUCAGGUAGAGAAUACCAAGGCGCUUGAGAGAACUCGGGUGAAGGAACUAGGCAAAAUGGUGCCGUAACUUCGGGAGAAGGCACGCUGAUAUGUAGGUGAGGUCCCUCGCGGAUGGAGCUGAAAUCAGUCGAAGAUACCAGCUGGCUGCAACUGUUUAUUAAAAACACAGCACUGUGCAAACACGAAAGUGGACGUAUACGGUGUGACGCCUGCCCGGUGCCGGAAGGUUAAUUGAUGGGGUUAGCGCAAGCGAAGCUCUUGAUCGAAGCCCCGGUAAACGGCGGCCGUAACUAUAACGGUCCUAAGGUAGCGAAAUUCCUUGUCGGGUAAGUUCCGACCUGCACGAAUGGCGUAAUGAUGGCCAGGCUGUCUCCACCCGAGACUCAGUGAAAUUGAACUCGCUGUGAAGAUGCAGUGUACCCGCGGCAAGACGGAAAGACCCCGUGAACCUUUACUAUAGCUUGACACUGAACAUUGAGCCUUGAUG
rnacentral:rRNA from 1 species